AUCAAAAUCAAAUGAAUGCCUUAGCAUAAUAUGACCAAUUUCAUUAUCAAUGGCAACUAGCACUUUACUCAAACUACAUAAAUACUCCAAAACUGAAAUUAAUCAUCUAAUCUCAUACACUCUUCUCAGGAGAAUAUGGACAUAUUUUUAGUGUAAAAGGAUCAAGCAAUUACAAGAUAAAACAUAAUAAAACUACUGUAUAGAGGCCAAGUUUUCAAAAUACAAAGCAUAAUCAAACACUUGUAUAAGAUACAUAAAUUAUCUUGUGAGGCCAAAACAUCAAAACUGAAAGUUAACAAAAUUUUAAGUAAAACGACCAAACAAAAGAACAAGGAAUUGAUUUAACUUUCAACGUUGUUUCACAAGUCAAACAACCAAACACAUAAUGGGCACUACUGUAUCCUACCAAACCAAAGAGAACAACUUGAAAUCUAAGACGUAAUUAUGAACAUUUACAACUCUCGAACUUUGUACCUGUCACAAUUCUCGAGCCUUGUUAAAGUCGGGAGACGGCUUCUCCGCCGUUGUCUGCAUCAGCUUUGCCUGCCUCGUCGUCACCAGUCAUCGUCACCAUCAUCGAGGGUUUAAGCGGAAAAUAUGUUGUUGAGAUAAAAUAUAAAUGAAUCUGAAAGGAUACAAAGUUUUCUGAUAAUGACUGUUUUGAGAUUUGCUUUGUUUCUUUUUUUUUUUUUUUUUUUUUUUUUUUGGUCAAAGAUUUGCUUUGUUUCUAUCUUGAAAUUUUAGUCUGUAAAAUCCUUUCAGAUGUGGAGGAAGAGAGUGAAAACUAUUUGUGGUUGGUAGAAGAUGCAAUCUGAGCCAUCAAUUUUGGUUGGAUAUCAAAUGAUCUAAUGGUUAGAUUUAUAUGGUAGAUAUAUGUCAUAUCACAUUUUUGUCUAAUGAAUCUAGUCCCUUCAAUCUAAAUAAAAUCAAUGGCCAAGAAUACAGCCCACCAAAACGAAAAACAUUGAUUUUUUAGUUAGUGAAAUAGUCAUUACAAUCAAACUAGAUAGAUUAAGAAUCAGCUGAUGUUUAAGAAAAAGUGUCCUUGUAGAUAGAAGUGUCCCAGCGUGUAAUAUAAAGAUGAAAUGUGCCUUAAAGUGUAAAUCUUUCUUCAAAGAAACAGUCAUAAGUACAUACAUCACGUACCUUGAUAGACAUGUCAACAUAUUACUGCCAAUAUGUGAUUCCCGCAGGUACACGGCAUCGCCCAAGCAAUUAAUUAACCUAUGAGAAAUUGUGUGUAAUAAGCUAGGAAUCCAAUAAGCUAAUAGCCAAAAAAUUAGCUUUUCUACAAAUAAUUGCAUCAUGAAGAUUGAAAGAAAUAAAGGUCAACUUAACUAAGUGGAACUGCAAAUGUUAAUUAGGGAUGAAAAGGUCAGUUUAUUCCACUCUUAUUUAGGUGCAUAAACUUUUUUUACGUCGUGUUGAACUUGGCGUAAAAGGCAUGAAAUAUUUAAUCUAAUAUACAUUUGCAAUGCAUGAAAAUUUGAGAAAAACUAACGUAUUAAACUUUAAUAAGAAAAAAGUUGACAAAAUUUGAAAAGUGAAUUUUAAACACUUGAAUAUGAUCUAAAUGAAGAAGAGAGAAUAUACAAUGAGACAUAAAUUGAAUUUAAAUUUAAAUUUUAAAUAUAAUCAAAAUGAGGAAGACAGAAAAUACAUUGAAAAACAUAGAAUUGGAAUAUCCAAAGUUAGACAUGGGCUUCGGAGUCCCAAUCGGAUUUUGGUUUUGUCAAGUCGGGUUUUAGUUUUUUUUGGUUUAUCAAAAUCAGCCUCAUUCCAGUUAUAUGAAAGUUUGGUUCGGGUUUUAUAGGAUUCGGAUCAGGGUUAGUAAAUCUUCAAAGAACCAGUACAACCCGAUGUGUUUUUGAGUUUGGAUUUCAAUCGGUUUUUUGGUUUAAAAGUACAUGAUUUAUACCUAUUUUGUAACCAAAACAUAAGUAAAAUUAGUUCUUCGGUUUUAAAAUACCUUAUUUGUACCUAUUUUGUAUCCAAAACAUAAGUAAAUCGAUUCAAAAAAUAAGAAAAGAACAUCACGUGAUUAUUCAAAAUUUAACAAAAGGUAAACAUAGUUAUUGAUAAAAAAGAAAACCAAAUAAAUGAAAUCAUAGAGCGAAAACCAAGUUCUCAUGAAAUGAGAAACAUUAUUCAAUGAAAAAAAAAUCAAAAUCUAAAAAUUUUGAGCUUCGACCGCCACCUUCAACCAUCAAACUUCAUGUGUUAAACAAUUAUUUUAGAUGCUAAAUAAUAUUUUAGUAUAUUUUAGAUACAUAUUAGGAACUGAAAUCAUGUUUAGUACAAGUUCUUUUUUGCGAUUUUAAAUGUUUCGAGUUCUAUCGGAUAUCCAUUUACGUUCGAGUUUGGUUCGGAUAAUACCCAUAAUCCAAAAUACCAUAAAAUAAGAUCCAGUCAGUUUUUAUGUUAGGUUUGGAUCGGUUCGGAUUCAGUUCGGGUUUUCGGGUUCGGUUUAUUUGUCCGGCCCUAUCCAAAGUCAUGCUUUCAUUUUCAAUGAGUUUAACUACCGUCUUACUGUCACAUUCAAAUAUGACAUUAUGGUUUUGAUUAAGAACACAUGGUGUUGUUGAUUUAGUAUGACUUUUUUUUUGAACAAAGAUUUAGUAUGACUUAGAAGUCUAAUUCAUUAAUAACUCAAAAACGUUACCAUGUAUUAGUUUUUUUUUAAAAUAUAUAAUUUGAUUUAUCAUGUGUUGUAGAUUUGUGGUUGCGUUGCUAUUUUGACUUCUACUCGUUGUAAAAUAGUUAACUCAGCACUUAAUGCAACAUCAAAGAAAAAUUCCAUAUUUUUUAAGUUGAAUUACAAUUUUUAUUGAUUUAUUUUGUCUUACACUCUUUGUGCGAUGGAUUUUUUUUCUUUGUGUGUUGGAUUGCUAUUAGUAGAACUUAAUUCUGCUUCUACAGAUGUCAUACACUGAUUCCUUUAUCUCUUUCCAGCUCCUAAGCAGUAACCUUCUGGACCUCGAAUAAUCCAAGUCACUUGUGAACCACAUCAUUCCCCUUAUAUCUGCUUUACCAAUUUUAUAUGGCGGAGUUUCUUAUUUUGAAUAUAUCAGAAGGUUUGCUAAAAAAAAAAAAAGAAUAUAUGAGAAGGUUUGAGGUCAAAACCCGUAAUUUUUCCAUUCUCAAAACCACAAUACAAAAUAUUAGUUUUAUCCCGACAGUUACUCAAACCGAAGACCUCUAACACAAUAGCUAAAAUCCUUUCUAAUUGAGUGGUAUUAUAGAGUCGAGCUGUCUCCAUGUUAGUAUCUCUAUUGUUGCUGCAUGACGCAUUGACAUUUCUUCAUUCUGUUUAUUAAUCUUAGUCCAUAAACUUAUUUGUUUCUGAUAAACCAAUAUGCUGCGUCUUAUGAAAUGUUUUUUUUAAAAGAGACUUUGUUUAUUUUAAAGCGGUGGUGGCAAUGGGAUCUGCUGGCAUGUUCGAGUUUUCAAAGUUGAUGUUUCUUUGUUGGUUUUGUAUAAAUGAUUUGUCUUUGUUUCCAAGAAGUUAAUUACAAUGAGUGUUUUCUUUCUUGGUUUUUCUCUGCAGACUAUGCUGCUGAAGCGUCCUCGUGUUGUGUCAGAACAAGUAGGCCAUGCUUGGGAUCUACCCGACAACAAAUUUGGAGCUGCAUAUGCAAGAGUCAUGGGACCUAGAAACUUCUCUCCCUUCCGCCCCUAAGAUUCAUGGAGACACAUGAGCCGGCUUACGUAGUAACACGGGCGGACACGUAAAGUUCACGACUUGUGGCACACUCUCUUCACCCUCCCUACGAAUCUUAUAGGUGAGUCGGAUCUAAAAGUCACAGAGUUGGGCAACAAGAGAACUUGCAAGCUUUUUCUUGAUUCGGACUAUUUGGAACACUUUUCAUCAGAACAUUACAAGAGAAACAGGACUGAGAUAGAUUGACAAGAAACCGACUUCUUAUCAUUAAA